rnacentral:ncRNA from 1 species
AAGCGUUGAAGCAAAAGAGUGCGCCAGUACGCAUUGUUUUACGGAGCUUUCAGGAGGGUUGUGCAGUGAAACCUUAAACCGGCGUAGGCCGUAAGGCCGAAAGAAAUGCUCGCU